rnacentral:rRNA from 1 species
UUACCUGGUCCGGACAUCAAAAGGAUAGACAGACUGCCAGAUCUUUCUUGAUAUGGUGAUUGGUGGUGCAUGGCCGUUCUUAGUUCGUGGAGUGAUCUGUCAGGCCAAUUCCGGUAACGAACGAGACCACUUUCUCCAUUUGACGAGCCGGAGAAGGCGUUGGUAUUGUAGAUUUUUGCUUGCAAGAGUCCAUGGUAUCAAUUCUGUAGGCAUCGUGAGGAAGCGUUGAGUGUAUUGGUCUUGGGUGGCAACACCUGGGCUGGCACGCUUUGAGUUAUCUUUGCGCUCCCUCCGGCUUAGCAGUGCAUGCUCGCAAGAGUGUGUAUUGUAUCAUGGAGAGACAACGGAAUAUACUUAAAAAAUCCGAGGAAGUGUGGCUAUAACAGGUCUGUGAUGCCCUUAGAUGUUCAGGGCUGCACGCGCGCUACAAU